UGUGGCUGCAUCAGGUUCAAACACCAGAUCUCAUAUGAUCACCCAAGUUAAGCAACAUCAAGCCAGAUCAGUACCUAGAUGAGUGACAACUUGGGAAUACCAGGUGCUGUAAG